rnacentral:rRNA from 1 species
CAGCCGCCGCGGGAAUACGUAGGGUGCAAGCGUUAAUCGGAAUUACUGGGCGUAAAGCGUGCGCAGGCGGUUAUAUAAGACAGAUGUGAAAUCCCCGGGCUCAACCUGGGAACUGCAUUUGUGACUGUAUAGCUAGAGUACGGCAGAGGGGGAUGGAAUUCCGCGUGUAGCAGUGAAAUGCGUAGAUAUGCGGAGAAACACCGAUGGCGAAGGCAAUCCCCUGGGCCUGUACUGACGCUCAUGCACGAAAGCGUGGGGAGCAAACAGGAUUAGAUACCCCGGUAGUCCCUGUCUCUUAUAC